GUCAUACAUACACUACCAUGAUCAACUUUACACAAUUGUUCAAAUUUUGAUUAAUAAAGUCCACAAAAUGAUUAAUGACUUCGAACUAAGUAACUUGGUCAUUUUUAAAUUUAGUCAUUUGUGUAGUUGAUUUCACACCCACCAAAUUAGACAUCCUUCCUAGACACAUGUAGUCAUAAUCAUUUACUUGAAUACAACACCUAAUACACCUUUACUACUAAAUGAAAUAGUCUUAUGAAUUAACAAGACUCCAUAAUAGCAUUUAAAUGAUCAAGCUCCCAGCAAAAUGGAGGCUAGUGUGAGUGAAUCCUAAGACCUCUUCUGCUGUAAAUAAACCUCAAUGAUAUGAUCAAGCCAGCAACAAUGGUUAAUACAGUUCCAACACACUGCAAUGCACUUUUUUAACAAGUGACCAAGACAACAAAAAGGUGAAUUCUAUGUCUAAACUCCUUAAUUGUAUCACUUUCUAAUUCAACAUCCAAUUCAAAGUAAUCUAUAUAGAACUUCAUUUAAACAUACGGACUCCAAUCAUAAUUUGUGAAUUUAAUCGGGUAAACAACAACAAAAUCAACACCAAUAAAUUUUAACAAUCCAAAAUUUGCAUAUAUAUAGACAUACUACCAUAUUCAAUCUUAUACAAUUGAUCAAAACAACCACAAAAGAGACCAACAAAUGAUUGUGAUACACAUGCCACCAUGUACAUUCUUACAAUAACUUAAAAAGAUGCUCACAAUUAAAUUACAAAACAUUAGUUUUCUUCUUUUUUACACACAUCUUCUAAAAUAACGUCAGAGUGAACACAUACUUUGGACAUGUUUCAUUGAUUGUUACUCCUUUCUUGAUUGUGUCAUGCUCAUGAAGCAACCAAACUCACAACAAAUACACUAGCAUGAGAAAGUAUAUAACAAUCAACAUAUGCCUAAAAUAAACCAAUUAAAUGCAAACAUGAAGAUUGAAAAAUUGAUAAAAUCUUACCUGCUAUGGGUGAAGCUACCCUUAGUUAUGGGGUAGCUUUGAAUACCCCAAAAUAUAUGUUUUUUUUUUUUGAAAUAAGCAAGUAUAGUUUCAUACUUAACUAUUCAAAUAAUAUAUAUUUAGCUACUUCAAAUAAAUUUAUUAGUUAAAAAUUUAGAAUAAACAAAAAAGUAAAAAGAUUAUCACUUAAUUAAUAUAUCUAUUUGUAUUAUUUUGACACUUUUAAUAUCUACUGUAACUACAAAU
rnacentral:lncRNA from 1 species